AUAUCACUAAGCGGAGGAAAAGAAACUAACCAGGAUUCCCCUAGUAACGGCGAGUGAAGAGGGAAAAGCCCAGCACCGAAGCCUGUGGCAAUUUUGCUGCUAGGCAAUGUGGUGUUUAGGUCGGCUCGUGGGAUCGCCACUCCACUCGAAGUCCAGCAUUGAGUAUGGUUCCCAGGAAUUGGCCCAUAGAGGGUGAAAGGCCCGUACGAGUGGAUGUGUCAGAUAUGUAAGGCGAUUCACCAGGCCGGCCUUAGAGUCGGGUUGUUUGCGAAUGCAGCCCAAAGUGGGUGGUAAACUCCAUCCAAGGCUAAAUACUAGCACGAGUCCGAUAGCGAACAAGUACCGUGAGGGAAAGUUGAAAAGUACUUUGAAGAGAGAGUAAACAGUACGUGAAACCGCAUAGAGGUAAACGGGUGGCGUCAAGCUGCAAGCCCAGAGAAUUCAGUCGGUCAGGGUGUUGUCAUGCGCCCAGCGCAUCUAUCAGUCGGUGUAGGAUUUGGCUAGUCCGCUUGAAGAUGGCGGGCCCAGCUAGCAAUAGCUGGGAUUUGCGUACCGGGCGGUAGCCGGAGCAUGCUAGCCGUCUGUAGGACUGCCUGGCCGAUGCACUUUCUCUGUUGGUGAACACCACGACCGGUGGUACUGCCAGUCUGCUGUAGCCAGCUUCGUUGCAUACUCUGGCCUUUUGGUUGGGGCGUGUGGCGAUCACAGACAAUUUCAGUGCACGGUGCUUGUGUGUUUUUCGCAUGCGGGCAUGUUAUCGGGAACUGGUUGUAAACGGGUCGGCCUGUCGACUUGUCUGUAGUCGUGGUUGAUGGGUGACCCGGUGGGCUAUGGUGGUAUGAAUAACUGUGCAGGGCACCGGAGUUUUCGGUCCGACCAGCAGUAGUCGUUCGCGGCUGCUGUUGCCGGCUGCAUACGCACUGCAGUUUAGCGUGUGCACUGUCUUUGGCAGUAGUACGGGCGGCGCUGUUUACGGCCUGCCAKUCGUUGGGUCUGAUUGUCGUGUCGCCUGCCAAAAUGGUGGGUCCGGCGGUGGCCUGGCGUUGGAUGGUGCCUGUAGACGGAGCUGUCGUUGUGCAGCCGGUAUUUGUGUGCGCGACCUUAUAGUCUGUGGUGUAGUGGUAGACGAGCUACCCGACCCGUCUUGAAACACGGACCAAGGAGUUUAACAUGCGCGCGAGUCAUUGGGUCCUACGAAACCCAGAGGCGCAGUGAAAGUAAAGCUUCGACAUAUAUUGUUCUCGGGGUGUGGUGAGAUCCUGCUGUUUCUCGCAUACAUUUGUCCAGCACUGGGCUAACUAAACGAGCAGUGGGCGCAUCACCGGCCCGUCCCAUGAUGUGGCUAUCUGUCAGUGGCAGUUGUCGCCUUACGGUGGUGGUUGCUUUCUGCGGGUACGUCAUCGGGGCGGAGCAUGAGCGCGCAUGUUGAGACCCGAAAGAUGGUGAACUAUGCUUGCGUAGGUUGAAGCCAGAGGAAACUCUGGUGGAGGACCGCAGCGAUUCUGACGUGCAAAUCGAUCGUCAAACGUGAGUAUAGGGGCGAAAGACUAAUCGAACCAUCUAGUAGCUGGUUCCCUC
rnacentral:rRNA from 1 species